UGGCACUGGAACACGGGCCAGACUCCUACGGGAGGCAGCAGUGAGGAAUAUUGCGCAAUGGGGGCAACCCUGACGCAGCGACGCCGCGUGAGUGAGGAAGGCCCUCGGGUCGUAAAGCUCUGUCAAGAGGAAAGAAGUGCGUGGUGGCUAAUACCUGCCACGUUUGACGGUACCUCUAAAGGAAGCACCGGCUAACUCCGUGCCAGCAGCCGCGGUAAUACGGAGGGUGCAAGCGUUGUUCGGAAUCACUGGGCGUAAAGGGCGCGCAGGCGGUUUGGUAAGUCAGAUGUGAAAGCCCACGGCUUAACCGUGGAAGUGCAUUUGAAACUGCCAGACUUGAGUAUCAGAGGGGAAAAGUGGGAAAUUUCCCCGGUGUAGAGGUGAAAUUCGUAGAUAUCGGGAGGAAUACCGGUGGCGAAGGCGACUUUCUGGCUGAAUACUGACGCUGAGGCGCGAAAGCGUGGGGAGCAAACAGGAUUAGAUACCCUGGUAGUCCACGCCGUAAACGA
rnacentral:rRNA from 1 species